UACGAAGGGGGCUAGCGUUGCUCGGAAUUACUGGGCGUAAAGCGCACGUAGGCGGUCUUUUAAGUCGGGGGUGAAAUCCUGGAGCUCAACUCCAGAACUGCCUUCGAUACUGGAAGACUUGAGUCCGGGAGAGGUGAGUGGAACUGCGAGUGUAGAGGUGAAAUUCGUAGAUAUUCGCAAGAACACCAGUGGCGAAGGCGGCCUUCUGGACCAGUACUGACGCUCAUGCACGAAAGCGUGGGGAGCAAACAGG
rnacentral:rRNA from 1 species